rnacentral:misc_RNA from 1 species
GAUUACCAACUACCGCCUCGCCAUCGCAUCAUCCGCUGCCUCAUCUGUGCCCUCCAUACAACCUUUCUUCACGUUCUGUGCUUGCAUCUCCUUCUUUUACACAGCCAAACCUUUACAUCAUUUCCUUUCAAAACAUCACCAGCAUGUCCUCCAAGCCGCAGCCGAUCGCUGCUGCGAACUGGAAGUGCAACGGCACCACCGCCUCCAUCGAGAAGCUGGUGCAGGUGCUCAACGAACACAACAUCUCCCAUGACGUGCAGUGCGUCGUGGCACCGACCUUUGUGCACAUCCCAUUGGUUCAGGCGAAGCUCCGCAACCCCAAAUACGCCGUCAGCGCCGAGAACGCGAUUGCCAAGAGCGGCGCCUUCACCGGUGAAGUGUCGAUGCCGAUCCUGAAGGACCUGGGCAUCAACUGGGUCAUUCUUGGUCACUCGGAGCGCCGCACCUACUACGGCGAGACGGACGAGAUUGUAGCGCAAAAAGUUGCGGAUGCGUGCAAGCAGGGCUUCAUGGUGAUUGCUUGCAUUGGAGAGACGCUGCAGCAGCGUGAAGCGAACCAGACAGCGAAGGUGGUGCUGAGCCAGACGUCAGCGAUCGCCACGAAGCUGCCGAAGGAGGCGUGGGACCAGAUUGUGCUCGCCUACGAGCCGGUGUGGGCCAUCGGCACCGGCAAGGUCGCCACGCCCGAGCAGGCGCAGGAGGUGCACGCCCUGUUGCGCAAGUGGGUGAGCGAGAAGAUCGGCGCCGACGUCGCCGCGAGGCUCCGCAUCCUGUACGGUGGCUCCGUCAGCGCCGGCAAUGCCAAGACGCUCUACAUGAAGCCUGAUAUUAACGGCUUCCUGGUCGGUGGCGCGUCCCUCAAGCCGGAGUUCCGAGACAUCAUCGAUGCGACCCGAUAAGCGCGUGCGGAUGCUGCGAGAAGUGAUUCGUGAGCGAUGCACUGGGACUGGUUGGGAGGAGGGGGAGGGGAAGGGGUGACGUAGGAGAGGCAGAAGCGGGGUGCCCGAAGGGGGAUAACGGGACAGUCUGUUCAUGUUGCAUCUCGCAUCGCACAGCUUCCGUGCAUGCAAGGCCAGCUCUCUAUAUAUGGGCGCGCACGCCAUUCCUCCUUUCUGCCAGACCACCACCACCACCACCCCUCCUCUGCUUCCCAUCUCUCUUCUCUCUCAUGUACCUGUGGAGGGCUUGUCCUUCCUCUUCGUUGAUAG